CUGCAGGGCGAGGGCUGGCAGCCGCCGGCAGGAGGGAGAUGCGCGCACACACCAGUGCGGAGAGAGAGAGAGGAUGGAUGGAUGGAGCGAUGCACAGAGCCGAGAGGAGUGCCUCUCGCCAAGCCGCCCCCUCCCUUCCAUGUGACGCAGAUGUGCUCUGGGGCCAUCAGUUUGAAGAGACACAGGGAAAGGGAUGCUUCAGUCAUCCUCACGCAAUGCAAUUGGACUUGAUGACCUCUGAAGAUUCAUUCCAAUUGUUCUGUCCUGUCCUAUCCUGUCAUACAUGAGGAAGUUAAAAAUAUUAACAGAGUUACUGUGCAUACAUACUGUGUAUGCUAUGGGUAUGUAUUUUUUCAACUAUAUGGAAGUUAGUAUAUAAUUGACACCCAUCAAAGUAAAAAUGAAAAAUGAAAAGAACAUUCAGAUAUCCCUGUUUUAGCAGGCUUUUGACUGACAUUAAGUAUAUUGUAGAUAUUCUGAGCAAUUGAAACAAAUUAAUAAAACUGCAUCUUUUCACCUUCAUGUGUA